UCAUCUUCGUCUCUUCAUUUUCUCUCAAGAACACUUCAUUUCUCUCAAGGUUAAUUCUCCAUAAGUUGGUUCUUCAUCUUCUGGUAAGUUUUUCCUUACUAAUCUAGUGACUCUACACAUCAAAAUACUAGUUUUGUUACAAUUACACACAUUAAUAUGUGUUAAUAUCCGUAGGGCAAUUCUGUCUUCAAUCAUCCUCAAGUGUUCUAAGCUUGAACACCUUCAACUUCACCUCUUUAUCCACUAAGAAAUCCAAUCAAGGUGAGUUCAUACCACUUCAUUUUUGUUUUAUCCAAGUUUAGGGGGGGGGGGGGAAUACAAGUAAACUUGUGUAAUAACACUAGUUGUUAUGCAUGCUUAGUCUUCAAGUUGUGUAAAAGCAUUACUUACAUGAAAUAAUGUUAUUACCUAGUAUUAUGAAUAUUUAUGUGUAGUAUGUUGUUUAAAAUGCAAAAAUCUAUGAAUAAUGAGUAUAAACAUGCUAUAUGUUCUUGAGAAAAAGUCACAAAAAUAAAACAAUAAAAACUAUGGUUUUAUGAAGAUAAUAUGACUUUUCUAGCAAAAAUGGUUUUAACCAAGCUACUAUAUUAUUUUUGUGGGAUAUAAAUCAAAAUAUGUUAUUUUGAACAUGUGUUAGGAAACUAGUUAAAAAUACCAAGUAUUUGGUUUUACAAAAAGAAGACCUUAAAAACCCACCAUUUUUAUGUAAAAGAAGGGUUUUUUCUACCAAAAAUGGUCAUGACUAGGUUAUGGUACCAUUUUUGUAAGAUUUGACUUAAAAUAUGUUAUUUUAAACAUAUAAUGUUAGUUUGACUAAAUAUCCACAAAAAUGUACAAAUAAAUUUUACAAUUUUACCAGUUAGUGACGUUAAAAAGCAAAAAACUAGAAAAUUGGUUUUAUCAUACUAAAUGUUCUUAUAUUUGUGUUAGAUGUAAAUUAUAUGAUAUAAUCUUUUAAAACAUCUAAACAUGUUGAUAUAUAUAUAUAUAUAUAUAUAUAUAUAUAUAUAUAUAUAGACACACAAANGGUGUAGUUUAUGGGUCAUUAACACUAUUUUACCAUUUUAGGCGAACAAAUAAUUAUUUAAAGGUAUAAUUAUUUUACAUUAUGUAAUUACUAUGGAAAGGUAAUAUUUCCACUUACAAAAGGGUUUUCAUUAAACUAUAUGUAAACAUGUUGAUAUAAUUUUGUGAGACAUAGUCUUCACCGUACCUACCAGAGUACACAUUAAAGUCCUGAAUUACAACCGGAAUCUCGGUAAGAGAGCGUGACGCUUGUAUAUAGAUCUAUAUGGGACUGACAAUCACGCACCAAAGUUGUUAGCUACAGCUAGACCGGCAGGUCUAGGUGACAAUUGUCUAACAUUCCGACGCCUGAAGAUCGUCGCAGCAGGCCAACUACGGUUUUAGCAUGGUUGUAAUAACUCACAUGGGGUAUUAACACUACAUUUGGUUUACGGAGCUAACAUACAUUCAUAUGGUUUUAUAUAAAAAUAAAACUGCAUAAUACUACUUUCAAGUACUGCAAUUACUUAUUCCUUUUUGUCUUAAGGUUUUUAAGACUACAACUCAUUUUUAAGAAAAUAUUGGAUUUUCUUGAAACAUACACUAUCAUUUUACAAGGAAAAGUUACAGAUUUUUCGCAUACAAAACUCUUAUGAACUCACCAACUUAAUUGUUGACACUUUUUCAAUCUAUUUGUAUUCUCAGGGAAUCGUUAACAAAGGUAAUUACAAAGUUGUGAGGAUGGAUGUUACAACAUUACACUGUUUAUUUUUUGUCGUAAUGUAAUUUGUAUUGAAACAAACAACAUUUGGAUACAAUGUAAUAUUCCUAAUUAUAAUUAUGAUGGUUGUAUUACUUUGAUCACUAUUAUUUGUUAUGUUGUGAUAUUGUUCAUGAAAUUCAUCCACCCCCAGACGUUUCCGCCAUCCUGGUUUGGGAGUAUGACAGUAUAAAUACAACCCUCGUCAUCAGUUGUAAGGGUCGGACGAUUCCAGAAGAAGAAAACCACUUCUGAAGGUGAUUUUUGAAUUCGUUCAGUGACUUUUGAAGAUCUG
rnacentral:lncRNA from 1 species